rnacentral:sRNA from 1 species
ACGUGGCAAAAAAGGUCUCUGGAAACGC